ACGUUAAAACACCGGUUUCCGUACGAUGACCGAAGUUAAGCAUUGUCGAGCUUGGCCACUACCUAGAUGGGUGACCGCUUAGAAAUACCAGGUGCUAU